rnacentral:rRNA from 1 species
UACGUAGGGUGCGAGCGUUAAUCGGAAUUACUGGGCGUAAAGCGUGCGCAGGCGGUUCGCUGUGUCCGAUGUGAAAGCCCCGGGCUUAACCUGGGAAUGGCAUUGGAAACUGGCGGGCUUGAGUGCGGCAGAGGGGGGUGGAAUUCCCAGUGUAGAGGUGAAAUUCGUAGAUAUUGGGAAGAACACCGGUGGCGAAGGCGGCGACCUGGUCCGUGACUGACGCUGAGGCGCGAAAGCGUGGGGAGCAAACAGG